CGGCAGCCCAAGUGGUGACCGUUUUUAUUGGGCCUAAAGCGUCCGUAGCCUGUUUUGUAAAUCUUCUGUGAAAUCGUUAAGCCUAACUUAACGGACUGCAGAAGAGACUACAAGGCCUGGAACCGGAAGGAGUCAGAAGUAUUUCUGGGGGAGCGGUAAAAUGUUAUAAUCCCAGAAAGACUACCUGUGGCGAAGGCGUCUGACUAGUACGGAUUCGACGGUGAGGGACGAAAGCUAGGGGAGCAAUCCGGAUUAGAGACCCGCGUAGUCC
rnacentral:rRNA from 1 species